AUUGAACGCUGGCGGCAGGCCUAACACAUGCAAGUCGGGCGAGCAGCGGACUGGUGAGUAAUGUAUGGGGAUCUGCCUGAUGGCGGGGGCUAACUACUGGAAACGGUAGCUAAUACCGCAUACCAUCCGAUCGACCCAUACGGGAUGAGCUAGUCGGUGAGGUAACGGCUUACCUAGGCGACGCUCCCUAGCUGGUCUGAGAGGAUGAUCGGCAACACUGGGACUGAGACACGGCCCAGACUCCUACGGGAGGCAGCAGUGGGGAAUAUUGGACAAUGGGCGAAAGCCUGAUGCAGCCAUGCCGCGUGUAUGAAGAAGGUCUUCGGGUUGUAAAGUACUUUCAGUAGGGAGGCGGUACCGACAGAAGAAGCACCGGCUAACUACGUGCCAGCAGCCGCGGUAAUAC
rnacentral:rRNA from 1 species